rnacentral:lncRNA from 1 species
GAUCCGGAUCAGACUGCGCGGAUGCGCAGGCUGUUCUGGAUCCAUGUCUAUCGCAAAUGCACUAUGUUGGGUUGUUCAUGGCGCGGCUCAUUUAUUUUGUUAUAAACAUGUCGUUAAUCGUCACUGAAAAUAAUAAGGUAAACUACCUCCUUAAGAGUGUAAAAAGGAAGCUCUUUUUUGUCCCUGUUUACAAGGGCAUAGCGGAUGCGGAUAAUGUUUCAUCUAUUAGUGUAGUAAGAUUUUUUGCUGUCGACAUGUGCACUAAAUGAGAAAAUGUGAUAUUUGUUUACCUGUCUGACAAUUAAUUACAGUGACAGUUUUUUUCUGGGCUCUGGAAUCUUCAAAUUUAGUGCAAGAAGACUAACAAAACAGACAUUUUUACUGUUAUCGGAUAGAUCAAUAACUACCGCUCACCAUCCAGACCUGGAAAUGCAACUUAAUAUUAAAAAAGAAAAGAUUCACUGCGCUAUGACAAUGGCAAUAACAGCAGUAUACUUGGUUAUGACACAUCCUUCGUCGAUGUCCAGAUAAAAGAGACAGCAUAUACAAUAAAAUAUGAGUAUAAGGAUACAUAAAGUAAUUUUUAUGUGUUAGUUACAUAUUGUUUUGUUUGGUUUAACGUCGCACCAACAAAAUUAUAGGUCAUAUCGGGGACUGAAUGCAAUGUGGUCGUACGUUUAACUUUAUUUAAUAGCGGUCAUUAUAGUAUUACGUUCAACCCCUGUUAUGUCGACUUUACAGCUAUGAUAGCGGAGAAAGACUCAAGUUCCCCCUCCUCGCAAUACUUCGUAACGGGCGGGCAACUGUUGUAGGACCACCAACCUUCCGUAAGCAAUCUGAAUGUCUUCCCCGCAUGAAGAAUUUAACGCCCGGCGCCCCCGAUUGAGUGUGAGGCACAAACUCACUUCGAUUAGGAGCAAGUGAUACAAGGACAGUGACCUUAACAACUCGGCUACAGAGGCCCUAUUGCUGUAAAUGCUAUACAAAAAAGUUGUCUCUUUCGUUAUCGGUCUUAGCGGUUUUAAUGCUUGUUGAGUGAAAACUUGAUGUAUUAUCAAAUCGGGUAAAUUCUGUCUUUGUAUGCGCUUGUGUUUUCUAAUUUAUUAUGUUUUCAGAUAUUUCGAAGAGACACCAAUAACCGAAACAUUGAUAGAGUGGUCUUUGAAGUGGUCGGUGAUGGGUCGAAACAUUGCGGUUCGAAACACGCUUUCUUUUACAGUACAUGUAGUGCUGCCGCUUCCCCGUGAUAUUAUAAACGGAUGCGUAUUUGAUGUACAGUUAAAGGGAAGUAAAUGAAAAAAGAUAUUACAUACUUUCUCUGUACAUCGAUUUACACCAGUCCUAUAACUUUGGAAUAUGCAGCGGAUUAAGAGUGAGGUAUAGUGCACUAUCAACUAGAGACUGGUGCUAAUCUAUACAAGCCAUGCUAAACAAACUGUAGUGUGAAAGCAGUAAUACCGGUGCAAAUCACUGAACAGAUAAAAAGUCAUGUACUUUAAUUGUAAUACAAUAACAUUUGUGUGAUACAACUUAUUUCAUGAUUGUAAUAAACAGUUAAAGGGAAAUAAGUAAAAUUUGAAUAAUUGUACGUUUUAUUUGUAUAGGUUUUUCUCGCAACACCUUGAUAAAACUGACUUCUUAAUAAUUGCAAAUACAAUUACAUGACUUUUUGUGACAGCAAAUUACGCAAAUAUUAUGAAUCUAUUUACUGAUGCCCAAGAGACUUCUCCUGAGAAUUGGACAUAAACAGGAUUCAACAGUCUGAAAUAAACAACAUUUGCUCCAUUGCUCGGAUAUUAAAUUAUAUUCACUAGAACGUGUAGAAAUCCAAGCAAACAUCACCUUGAUAAAUAUAAAUCUGAGAAACUACAACUAGUUCUCUUGAUUUUUCUAGUGACUAGUGUGAAUUCCGUUGACCAUUUGUGCGACUGACCCAGCAACGUGUGUGAGACUGAAAAGCUUGCGGCCGAACAACAUCUGAAAAAUGAUUCAAGAUAGUCAUAACAUCUCAGAUUAAAUACUUAAAAAGAUUAAAUGAUUGCAUAUAUGUACAAACCAUGUCUCAAAACAAUCUGACUGCAAAAAAAAAUCAAAUGUAAAAACGU